UCCUGUAUAAAAGGGGGAGCUGAAGCGCUGUUGGGGACUCGUGUGUGCGCCUCUGAGGGAGAUACUUCUAUCUCUCACUGCCCGCCACCAAGAGCUGUGCUGUAGACAUUGGCGGCGCAGUGGAGAUGAGGGGUCUCCCUAACGAGCGAUAGCACACUGAAGGGAUGUAAGCUAUCAGCUGCUGCCGGCCAGAGCCAGAGAAGAGGAUACCGACGCAAGAAGCGGCUAUCAGAAGGUGCCGGGCGGAGUGAAGAGCCUGAAAGAAGCUGAGACCUGAGUAGUCAGUGACCCGCCUGUAAGAGCCGUGUGGAGUGACGAGCCGGGAGAGCGGUGACCGGUGUCAGCGGCGGCUACUAGUAGGAGCUCGGCAGGGUGAAGAGCUCGUGAAGUGUGACUGGCGUCAGCAGCAGCUAUCAAAACAGAACCUGGCAAAGCGGAGAGCCGGGGGAGCGGUGACCGGUGUCAGCGGCGGCUACUAGUAGGAGCUCGGCAGGGUGAAGAGCUCGUGAAGUGUGACUGGCGUCAGCAGCCGCUAUCAAAACAGAGCCUGGCAAAGCGGAGAGCCGGGGGAGCGGUGACCGGCGCAAGUAGCGGCUAGCAGCAGGAACCCGGCAGAGUGAAGAGCCGGGGGGAGCGGUGACCAGCGCAAUCAGCGGCUGUCAAUAGGAGCCGAGCAGAGUGGAGAGCCGGUGGAGCGGUGACCGGCACCCGCAGCAAGUGUUAUAUCGGUGCCUUCCUAGAAACAGUUACCUGGUCACAGAAGCGGCGGCUGGGAGAUUCUCCAGAGCUGACGAAGAAGAACUGCUUACACAGAUCCUGCAGCGGCAUUUAACCCCAGAACAGCACUACUCUAAUAAGAAUCCUUCUAGCAAUUCACUGCCCACCAAUGAGAGAUCAAGUGGGCGGGGCUAUCUAUUUGAGUUGUAGUAAGUGUCCGGAGACACUUACUGAAGACAUCUAAGGUCUGUAAUGCUAUUCUUACGGUGCACCUAUUUACAAUAGACACUAAUAUAGGAACACAGUACUUUUGUGGCAGCUAUUGUCACCAUAUAUUAUUAUUAACUACCAGCUCACCGCUACUUUCUAAUUAACUUUAAUUAGUGAGCUAUAACAAACCGACUGUGUUAACUGAUAUCUCCCAGUAAAAUAUGGAAAUAAUACUAAUCAGCUCCAAUCUAUAACUGGCUGGUCAUCAGUACAUAUGUGGAUAUAGACUAUAAACUUAUUACAUUGCACGGAAGGAUGUAACUCCAGACAAGCACAGGAUUUAUAAUUCAUUCAAGUGCAUCCAACUAGUCUAGUCAGACUUUGAUACAGUUACAUUAUUUGUGUCAAUGUAAAUUCAGUGUAACAUCGUAUGGAUACACCUUACUUCAAUAGCAACAAAGUAUUUAUUGUGCAGGAGUCUUAUUUCUGCUCACAGUUACCUACAGUUAAUACAUCUGGAAACUUCAUACAGCAGAUAGAAGUCCUUAUUAACUAGGAGCACCAGCUGUCGUUCUUUAAAGGAGAAUUGGAUACAGUUACAUUAUUUGUAUCAAUGUAGAUUCAGUGUAACAUCGCAUGGAUACACCUUACUUCAAUAGAAACAACGUAUUUAUUGUGCAGGAGUCUGAUUUCUGCUCACAGUUAACUACAGUUAAAUCAUAUGGAAACUCCCUCCAACAGAUAGAAGUCUUUAUUACCUAGGAGCACCAGCUGUCAUUCUUUAAAGGAGAAUUACCAUGUUACAGAGUAUCUGCUUAUUUAACUUGGAAGAAAUACGUGGCUCUGUAUCAAAAUUACUAGAUUAUAUAUGCAUAUAUAACUAAUCCCAUAUCCACGCUAGGGAGGAUUACAGCAGAUAAGCUAAAGUUAUCCAAGGGAGGAGCCAAUUAACUGUUUGGACUAUAUCUAGGUGUGGGAUUUUAUAGUAGUUCCACAGUAAAAUCUCUCUAUUAAGACAUAGCAAAAAGGCAGAUGCCAAGAGGAGUAGCAGGAGCAUGAGGAGGGUCAAGAGGGGACCAUGAUGGUAAUGUUUCAGACAUAGCAAAAAGGCAGAUGCCAAGAGGAGUAGCAGGAGCAUGAGGAGGGCCAAGAGGGGACCAUGAUGGUAAUGUUUC